rnacentral:rRNA from 1 species
AUGCCCACUAAUCCGCUCACGACGUCGUACCCCCGAACCGACAUCACGUCUCAGUUGAAAAAAAAGAAACAUCACAUCCCGACUCCACCCCUCCCCAGCCGCCACAGAACUCCUCCCUGUUCCCAUCGCCGUCGCCCCGUCGUGAGGAACCAACCUCCCGAAGCAUCCGGAGCGGCAAGCGCUGGAAGAAUGAAGAGAUGGCGUCUGCGGCGACGACGAAGGAGAUGGGGCGGACGUCCUACAUCUGGAUCAAGCGCGAGGAGGAGCGGCGUGAGGCUUCCUGGAAGGAGCCCGAGGGCCGGGUCUUCUCCUUGGCGAGCCCUGCGACCAGAUCCUCGCCGGUCGUGCCUCCUUCGCCGACCUCACCGCACAGCAGUCCGGCUCCUGGGGAGUGAAACGAACUCCAGUUCACGCUCUGUUUUGGUGGAUCUCACGACGCUCAGGAGGUGUUCGACGAAAUGCAAAGCCAGAGAAAAACUAGAGAUGAGACACAAGUUCAGUUUUCUCUUCAGGCAAGGAAUGCCUUUCUCUCUUUUGCUCUGGCCAGCAACAUGGCCGGCUCCCUCUCUUUUGUGUGCAGUUACACAAACACACACAUGUAUGGCCUGCAGACAUGCUCAGACAUCCUCAGCACACAUAGACGUCGCUACAGUGCAGGGACACACACAACAGCCUACUGUCAACUCCGCAUGCUACUACACACGAGCAUGGUCUAUACACUGUCUAGAUUGCAACAAGGAUUACAUUAACAGUUUGAACCGGGCUUGA